GGGGGGACGCAGUAGGAUAGGCGAAGCGUGCGAUUGGAUUGCACGUCUAAGCAGUAAGGCUGAGUAUUAGGCAAAUCCGGUACUCGUUAAGGCUGAGCUGUGAUGGGGAGAAGACAUUGUGUCUUCGAGUCGUUGAUUUCACACUGCCGAGAAAAGCCUCUAGAUAGAAAAUAGGUGCCCGUACCGCAAACCGACACAGGUAGUCAAGAUGAGAAUUCUAAGGUGAGCGAGCGAACUCUCGUUAAGGAACUCGGCAAAAUGACCCCGUAACUUCGGGAGAAGGGGUGCUCUUUAGGGUUAACGCCCAGAAGAGCCGCAGUGAAUAGGCCCAAGCGACUGUUUAUCAAAAACACAGGUCUCUGCUAAACCGUAAGGUGAUGUAUAGGGGCUGACGCCUGCCCGGUGCUGGAAGGUUAAGAGGAGUGGUUAGCUUCUGCGAAGCUACGAAUCGAAGCCCCAGUAAACGGCGGCCGUAACUAUAACGGUCCUAAGGUAGCGAAAUUCCUUGUCGGGUAAGUUCCGACCCGCACGAAAGGCGUAACGAUUUGGGCACUGUCUCAACGAGAGACUCGGUGAAAUCAUAGUACCUGUGAAGAUGCAGGUUACCCGCGACAGGACGGAAAGACCCCGUGGAGCUUUACUGUAGCCUGAUAUUGAAAUUCGGCACAGCUUGUACAGGAUAGGUAGGAGCCUUUGAAACGUGAGCGCUAGCUUACGUGGAGGCGCUGGUGGGAUACUACCCUAGCUGUGUUGGCUUUCUAACCCGCACCACUUAUCGUGGUGGGAGACAGUGUCAGGCGGGCAGUUUGACUGGGGCGGUCGCCUCCUAAAAGGUAACGGAGGCGCUCAAAGGUUCCCUCAGAAUGGUUGGAAAUCAUUCAUAGAGUGUAAAGGCAUAAGGGAGCUUGACUGCGAGACCUACAAGUCGAGCAGGGUCGAAAGACGGACUUAGUGAUCCGGUGGUUCCGCAUGGAAGGGCCAUCGCUCAACGGAUAAAAGCUACCCCGGGGAUAACAGGCUUAUCUCCCCCAAGAGUUCACAUCGACGGGGAGGUUUGGCACCUCGAUGUCGGCUCAUCGCAUCCUGGGGCUGUAGUCGGUCCCAAGGGUUGGGCUGUUCGCCCAUUAAAGCGGUACGCGAGCUGGGUUCAGAACGUCGUGAGACAGUUCGGUCCCUAUCCGUCGUGGGCGUAGGAAAUUUGAGAGGAGCUGUCCUUAGUACGAGAGGACCGGGAUGGACAUACCUCUGGUGUACCAGUUGUCGUGCCAACGGCAUAGCUGGGUAGCUAUGUGUGGACGGGAUAAGUGCUGAAAGCAUCUAAGCAUGAAGCCCCC
rnacentral:rRNA from 1 species